rnacentral:misc_RNA from 1 species
AGACAAGAAACAGUCACAGACAGACACAGAACACAGACCGAGACCCAGACACAAAGAUACCAGUGCCAGACAUAAACGCGGACCGACACAGAUACCCAGUGAGUACGAUACCGCACAGAGAUGUUGAUGACGUGACAGUUGACCGAUGAUGACUGAAUAUGACACAGAGAACCUCGGAAGAAGGUACCAACGAGAGAGAGAUCAAUACAGAUUCUCACAGACCUGGAUGAGAACUGCACAUAUCGAUUGUUGUCACACCACCAUUGUGGCCAUCAAUGUUACGUCAUCGACAAACAUGGCCAGGGUUGAUAACGACUUGAUGACAUGGCAAUCAGGGAAUUUCGGAUAAUGACACAGAGCCCAAACCUGUUUGGAUGGUUUGUGACACGCGCUGCCCAAAGACUCAGAAUAGCACAGAGAUAUCCAGUGAGUACUAUUCGAACAGAGAGUUGACGCCGCAAUUGCAGGUUAGAUACAGAAGUACUUACACGGACAUUUCGGAAACGGUACACGCUGGGCUUUCGGAUUUGACACUGGUUGAUACUGAGACAAACCCGUGCCACAGACUAAGAGGCCCCUUGUUAGAGUCCAUGUUUUAUGCCCAUGUGAUGUGGCCGUUGGUGGGAUGACUCAUCUGCUGGUCCGUGAGCCCCACCUAGUGUUUACUACACGGACACAUCAUUUGUAAAAUGGUAAUCUUGCUGACAUGAAGCAGAUAUCAUUUUACAAAUGAUGUGUCCUGCACUACCCCCAAGUGCAACGACAGCUGCCUCAUAGUUCACGGCUAGAUCAUCUGUCAGUGCACUGACUCCAGUGAGUGCUACCGUUCCUAAUGGUAGCUUCAUGGGAGAUGGUGACACAUCCUACACCAGCAUUACGCCUGGUGACUGAAUGGAACGGUCCACCAGACCAAAUCAGCAGUGUUGGUCCCAGGAGAUUGACGAUUAUCUUUUGGUACUGCUUUCAACUCCAUUUACGCCAUAAUUCUGGCAUUACCAAGGUUACUUCAACUUCACCAUAGCCUCAGCACACGAAGCCUCCCCACGCGAUCUCCCGGCACACCCAGCAACCACCGUUCAAAAACUGCAGCUCAAUUUGCCCACACCUGUAUAUUUCAGGGAGCUCCCUUUCUACCUCGAUACAACCGUGCGGCUCUGAAAUUGUCGGGAUAGGGGGUGAGUUUUCGACAGAAAAAAAUAAUAAAAAAAAAGCAAAAAAACCUGAAAUUCACAGCUCCUGAUAACAAUGAUAUCAUUUUUGUAGCUGUAGAAAGAGCUUCAAAAUUUCAUAGAAUAUGAGAAGACGACUAACGACA